CUAAAUAUCUGGAGGUACUGGAAAACCAAAUCAAAUUAUUCUUCAAGGAGAACAAGGCCAAGGACACUUUUCCAUCUAAUAAUUGGUGUGCUUUCAAAUCUACUAUGAGAGGGAAUCUGAUUGAUCUAAACUCACAGUAUAAAAAACGAAAAACAAAUUAGAUUUAGUGCUGUUAUAUGCUGAAUUAGAUAAGGCUUCAUCUGAGAAUAAAUCUUCCCCCUCAAAGGUCAAU